rnacentral:rRNA from 1 species
ACCCCUCCAUCGCCCGGGAACUACGAGUUAAGCUUAAAACCCAAAGGACUUGACGGUACCCCAUAUCCCCCUAGAGGAGCCUGUCCUAUAAUCGAUAACCCCCGUUUAACCUCACCAUUUUUUGCCAGUCAGCCUGUAUACCUCCGUCGUCAGCUUACCACGUGAGCGUCAGUGAGCCCAAUGUUUUUCCAACUACACGUCAGGUCAAGGUGCAACAUAUAAAAUGGGAAGAGAUGGGCUACACUUUCUACUAUAGAAUAAACGAAAGACUAAAUGAAACCCGGUCAGAAGGCGGAUUUAGCAGUAAAAUGAAACUAGAGUGUUCACUUAAAUACGGCAC